rnacentral:rRNA from 2 species
GCAACGGAUAUCUCGGCUCUCGCAUCGAUGAAGAACGUAGCGAAAUGCGAUACUUGGUGUGAAUUGCAGAAUCCCGUGAACCAUCGAGUCUUUGAACGCAAGUUGCGCCCGAAGCCACUAGGCCGAGGGCACGCCUGCCUGGGCGUCACGCGCCGUUGCCCCCCCU